CUGCACUCUUUGGUUCUUAUUCAAUAAGCCCUGGGCUGUGCCGCAGGUUUAUAACAGUAACCCAACCCAUCUAUAACUAUUGAUAGAAACUUACUCUUUGCUCUGUUUUUGUAUAUAAUUUGAGCAUCUCAAGACUAUCCAGUAUGAUAAUCAAAGAGAGUUGCUAUUAUCUUAUCUCAGCGAGCUCAGGUUGCAGCAGCAUGGACUUUCAAUUACACAAUAGUCACAUAUCUUUGAGAUUUGUGAAUCACCUUAGACUGUAGCAAAAGAGAAGAAGAAUAUAAAUAUAUAAUUUUUAUAUUUAAAAAAAUUAAUAUUUCAUAUAGAUGUAUCUUGUUGAAAAUGAUCGCUUUAUUUCUUUGACGAUAUGAAAAUUAAAAAAGUGAUUCUAUCAAGAGGGAAAUGAUAUUUAGCUAGCUAGUUCGAUUAGUUACACGCAGUACGCAGU
rnacentral:sRNA from 1 species